CCAGGAACUUGCAUUUUAACAGAGGAAGUUAUUCUGCCUGACACUUAGCAUCAAAGAUCAAAAAGUCAUCCAGAGUGAUGUAAGCUCCCAGCUUGUUGUUGUGACUUCCACAGCUGCUGCCUCCACUCCACCAUCAUGAACUCUACCCCUCUGCAACUGUGAGUCCAGUCCAUGAUGCUUUAUCACAGCGACAAGAAAGCAAUUAAGAAAAUAACCAUCAUUGUCAUUGUCAUCAUCAUCAAAAUGAUGUCUUAUCUGGAAUUUCCUUCAAAUAAGUAUGGUCUUCACCCCUCAUCAAGGAAACUUCUCUUUGCUAUAGAUGGAGACCACUACAACUACAGAAAAUCACAACCAAUCAAAAUCCAGAGCUGUGCAGCCCAGUACCAGUGAUUGCAUCUACAGAACACCUUUGUAUCAAAGACUCAGAGAACAUUGUGGAAAGGGGGCAGAAAGACUGUAAGAGCCAGAGGAUUGGUUUGCUGUGAGAUUGUGUCUUCUAGGAAUGUUAUAUAAAGUAUCACGUGAUUGUCCAAAUGUGAGCUGAAAAAGGACGACACCAAUUGACAAGCCAAAAUGUAUUGAGAAAAGUUUGUGAGGCCUUAACCCAAAUAACUACAGGCAAUUGAGGGUGUCUGAGAGUGGAGGAAUCUAUUUCCCUAGGGAAGAGCAUACCCAAUUAGUUAUCUAACACCAUAUGGUCAGUUCUGAAAACAUGCAUACAAGUGACAUUAUAUAGAUUGAGCAGUUUAUAUCUCAUGGUUUUCUUGUCACCAAUUUUGAACUUCCCUCAGGUCUUGGGCCUCUACUUUUAACAUAACCCAUGAAA